GCUUUCCUGUGGCUCAGUUGUUAGAGCAUUGUGCUAACAAUGCAAAUGUUGUAGGUUCAAAUUCUGUGGAAAGCA